rnacentral:rRNA from 1 species
UACGGAGGGAGCAAGCGUUACUCGGAAUUACUGGGCGUAAAGGGCGCGUAGGCGAUUCGAUAAGUCUUGUGUGAAAGCCCCGUGCUUAACGCGGGAAGUGCAUAAGAUACUGUAGAAAUUGAGUUCCGGAGAGGAAGAUGGAAUUCCCGGUGUAGCGGUGAAAUGCGUAGAUAUCUGGAGGAACAUCAGUGGCGAAGGCGACACCCUGGACUCAUACUGACACUGAGGUGCGAAAGCGUGGGGAGCAAACAGG